UACGGGGGGGAGCAAGCGUUGUUCGGAUUUACUGGGCGUAAAGGGCGCGUAGGCGGCUCAGCACAAGUCAGUUGUGAAAUCUCCGAGCUUAACUCGGAAAGGUCAACUGAUACUGUGCGACUAGAGUGCGGAAGGGGCAAUCGGAAUUCUUGGUGUAGCGGUGAAAUGCGUAGAUAUCAAGAGGAACACCUGAGGUGAAGACGGGUUGCUGGGCCAACACUGACGCUGAUGCGCGAAAGCCAGGGGAGCAAACGGG
rnacentral:rRNA from 1 species